rnacentral:tRNA from 1 species
UCCUCGGUAGUAUAGUGGUGAGUAUCCGCGCCUGUCACAUGCGAGACCCGGGUUCAAUUCCCGGCCGGGGAG